AGAAUCAACGCUGGCGGCGUGCCUAACACAUGCAAGUCGCACGAGAAAGGGACUUCGGUCUUGAGUAAAGUGGCGCACGGGUGAGUAACACGUGAAUUAUCUACCUCCGAAUGGGGAAUAACUGAGAGAAAUCUUAGCUAAUACCGCAUAAUACCUACGGGUCAAAGCAGCAAUGCGUUUGGAGAGGAGUUCGCGGUCGAUUAGUUAGUUGGCGGGGUAAUGGCCCACCAAGACGAUGAUCGAUAUCCGGCCUGAGAGGGCGCACGGACACACUGGAACUGAAACACGGUCCAGACUCCUACGGGAGGCAGCAGUGGGGAAUUUUGCGCAAUGGGGGAAACCCUGACGCAGCAACGCCGCGUGGAGGAUGAAAUAUCUUGGUAUGUAAACUCCUUUCGAUGGGGAAGAUAAUGACGGUACCCAUAGAAGAAGCCCCGGCUAACUUCGUGCCAGCAGCCGC
rnacentral:rRNA from 1 species